ensembl:lncRNA
AUUGAAUUGAUUUCAUUACGCUCUGUUGUGUUACAGACAGUAAACACUAGUCAAUAAUACAAUAAAAGACAGAAAAUACAGUCUAAUGUUAUUAGCACCUCUAGACACUACUGUCCUUGUACUGUUUUUAGUAUUUUAUCAUAGCUGAACGUGACGACUACUGCCUACACAUGGGCUUUGUACACCAGAGUUAACUAAGUUGUAGCGUUAACAUUAUAAAGUUGAGAGUCAGCAAAUAACAGUACACAUUAUGAUUUCUUUAACACCGCUGCAGUAUGAGUAAGGGAAAUGCAAUGUGAUGCGAAUGUGAAUAAUACAGCUUUGAAUCGACUAUGGCAUUGAUGCUUAUGGUUACCAUCACAUGUAGCUUUACUCAAAAAUAGGGGAAAGCCACCAUAAAACAUUUUCUUAAAAAAAACUAAACUUUCUCAUGCAAAAAUUACACUUGUUUCCCACUUUUAGUUCAUAUGGAGCCCUCAAACUGCCAAAAGGUAGCAAAAGAUUCAUUUUAACUUGAAUGGAGGAAUAUUCUAUAUAUAUAUAUAUAAAUGUAACUUUCAGUAAAACAAACACAAAGUUAUUUAAUUCAGUCAGGUAUUCUGUGGUUUUCUCAUUUUACCAUUGCAGUUACUAUUCGUUAAAUCACGUGCUCGUUUUUCUUCACUCAGGCUUUUUGACCUAUUGAUGUCUCAUUUUCCUCUCCAUGUGUUAAAUUCUCCUAAUGCAUAUAUAAUAAAUAUGGAUGAGUAUUUGUUAAUGACAGCGACUAAUUUCGAAUUCAUAUAAUACUUGUGGAGUAAUUUAGAGCGCUUUGUGGCUAGCUUAGCUGAAAACACUGCCUACAAGCAUUGUUGGCUAGCUACACAGCUCAAGCUGUACAUUUUUAUCAUGAAACUAUGCCAGCCAGCAUUACAUACAGUAGUGUUAAUCAAUCUGUCCUUUUGCCAACAGGUAUUCAAAAACAAAGUUAGUUAGUAAUAGUCAAUCUACAGUUUGCCAUUUGACAUCAUGACAGACUGCAAAAGACUGUUUUUGUGCUAGGAUUUAGACUGUUAUGUUAGCUUUUCAAAGUUUAACCAAGUAAAUUGAAGUUUUAUAAAAAGCUUUAUAUCUGUUCAUUUUUUUUCCACAAUAGAUUAAUCCUUUGUCUAUAAAUGUAAUCAAUUUGACAUUUGUUCAAUUUCUUGUUCACAAUUAGUGAAAAUUUGUACGGCAUUAGUGAAAACUGGGAGAUAAUUAGCUGCAUAUCAUAAAAGAUUUAGGAACCUAACCAAAUAUAAACUGUUGGGCAACCUACACAUUAGAACUACAGGAGUUCCUGUAGGUCUAACGUGCCAUGAAGCUCCUGGCACACAGUUUUUUGUGCUGAUGUUAAUGCCAGAGGAGGUUUAUUCUCU